rnacentral:snoRNA from 1 species
ACGACCUUACUUGAACAGGAUCUGUUCUAUAGGGAAGUACUACUGUAUCCUUUAGUAAAAAGGAGACGGAAACCAAAGCUUGGUGGAUGAACCAGGACCGUGUGAUCAGAGCGUGAUUAAUGGCCCAGAUUCUAGCUGUGAAUCUCUUGGCUAUAGAGGAUCGUUCUUAGCUGCCUAGGUGGCUGAGAUGGUCACACGGUUGUCUGACAAGC